rnacentral:rRNA from 1 species
GACAGAGGGUGCAAACGUUGUUCGGAAUUACUGGGCGUAAAGCGAGUGUAGGCGGUGAGAUAAGUCGGACGUGAAAGCCCGGGGCUCAACCUCGGAAGUGCGCUCGAUACUGUCUCGCUUGAGUGUCGGAGAGGUUGGUGGAAUUCUGGGUGUAGAGGUGAAAUUCGUAGAUAUCCAGAGGAACACCGGUGGCGAAGGCGGCCAACUGGACGACGACUGACGCUGAGACUCGAAAGUGUGGGGAGCAAACAGG